rnacentral:lncRNA from 1 species
GAAUAUUCCUAUUCAAACCACCACACCAUGUUAACAAUUCCUAUUUAUUAUCAUCUAUAAAAAUAACCUGCAAAAGAGAACAUUGGGUUGAACUAGAGGUGGCAUUUGAGAGAUUCAAACUGUUCUACAAGCAAUCCCCUACCAUUCAAAUUGUUGGUAAAGACUAAAUGUUUCACAAUCAGAAUAGAAAAAUAAGCCAAAUCUGUCCUGAUGGCCUGAUCUAUGACCCUCCAACUACUUAGAGUUCAAGGCUUCCCGGACUAUCCAGCAAGUUUAAGGCAAGUCUGGCACACUAUCUCAAGAUUUAAAAUAAUAAAACCAGAGUUAGGGAUGGGUGUUGCUCAGUGGUGAAACACUUACCUCACAUGUGCCAGACUUGUGGUUCAAUUUCCUGUACCCAAGGUAAAAGGAAAGAGGAAGGAAAGCUAAAUAAACUUCAGCAAUAUGAGUGAUUAGAGCAAUCUCUUAUCUCUUUUAUGUCACUAGAAAUAAGAUUUUUAGCAGCGACUAGAAUUUCUGAUUUAACUUUAAAAGAAUAUUUCUUUUGUAUAUCUUGACAUAUAAAGCCUUUAAAGAAAUUUUAGCUAUAUUUUAAAUAAAAGAAUCAAGAUCCUUUAUAGCCAGGAUCAUUGUGUAUCAGAUUUCACAAGAACUUAAUAGGCAGGGAAUGUAUGUUUCAACAUUGCUAGAGAGUUAACCAUUCACUGAAAUGUAUGCUAAAAUCAUCAUAAACUCAAGCUUUAUUAAAGCAAGGCCUCAUCUUGAUGUGUCAUUUGUGGGCCUGCCCAUAGAGUUUAUUAUUGUUAAUAUCUCAUGGGUGAGUCUAGGUACAGUGUUCUCUGUUUCUCCCUCUUGGGGUUCUAUGACCCCCAUAACAUAGUCUCUAUUGUGAAGAAACAGAGCUGGGUCUCUAAAGCUAUCAAUCAGAGAGUAUGUAUUCCCAGUGUUUUUCAAUUUACUGCCACACACCCUUUCUCCCCUACCUCAUCUACAUCCCUGGUACUUCCACAAACCUGGCUUCCAUUGCUUCAACAACAGCACAUUAUCAAACCAAGAGUAAUAUAAACUUCCUAUUCUCAAGUAAAUAAUUUCCAAUACUCAAAAUCAUUACUGAUGCUGCUUCCCUGUUCAUUGCCCUUCUCUCAUCCCCAGAUUUUGUCUUUGUCCACCAUGUGUAACACCCUAGUGGGCAGCUAAUCUCUGUCCUUAAGUCCCCAGAGCAGAAUCCUAAAGAUACAUUACCAUGCUCACUACAUUAGCUUUCUCUCUAGAGGUGUCACUGUCUUUCAACUGAAAAAAUGGUGAAUUCCAGCUCCCCCUUAAACACUAUGUAUAGAAUCCAAUAAAUAUGUCAUGAAUAAUUUUACAAAGUGAUUUUUACCAGAUUACUGGAUCACCCUCAUUUUUAUUCCAAUUUACAAUAAUAUAUAAUGAAUGAAAAACUAAAGGACUCCCAUGAUUCUUUCUAAGAUCGAGGCUUUAUGGGUCCAAUAGACCAAACAGUACAAACUGAUUCCCUCAGGUGGCCAUGUAGGAGGUUCUGAGACAAUUGAUGACUAGAUAUGGUUAAACAAACUGAUUUUGUACCAAAGGCAAUUUAUUGACUAUGAUUUAUUUUCCACGACUUAUGAGCUAAAAGAUAAAAAAAUAUAUAGCUUUCCUGUUUGAAUAAAGACUUAGAAAAAAAUAAAUUCAAGAGAACAAUAUGAAAAUGUUAUCUUGUACAGUAGAUAAAUCUGCCUCUGUGAAAGUAAAAAACAAAAACAAAAAAACCAAGCUAUUGAAACAUUAGUCACUGUCUAAUAGAGCAGCUAAAGAUAGUCAGUUACAGAUGACUUCAGCCAGCCACAGAGCUGGCGGCUUAUUUUAAUGUUCCAAAAGGUUCUCAUUGUUUGCAAACCAGAUUCUUUGCAAUCCUUUAAUUCUGUAUUCAGGAUUCAUAUAUCCAUUUUAGGCCAUGAUAAACCUUAAAAUUACAUGGUCGCAAUAUUAUUAUAUGUGAAAAUUAAUGUUUGGUAUAUGUUCUAGUUGUAGAUUGAGUCCCUCAGAUGUAGAUAUUUAACAAAUGUCAGCCUGUUGAAAUUCAAACAGUGCUCAGACCUCUCAUUACUACAUUUCAGGUACUCUGUUUUAGAACUGAGAUAAUGUCGACCAUGCAUGUGGUUCUGGGCUGAGUAUGUUUACGGGCGGUUUGGUUUGCUUCACACUCGAGUUAAUUUCAACAUUGUUUUUCUUUCAGGGCGUGAGUCUCAGUCUCCAGAUUCAGGUACAGAAAAAUAUUGUGAACAGCUAUUGUGCUUUGUUUCAAGGACAUUUUUUUUCUUUUUCCAUAUCCAUAGCCACAUCACUGAAUUUAUGUUAAAUUCAAAUUUCAUACGCUGUUCCACAUAACAAAUUAUAAUUCUAUCAAGACCGUUUUGGUUUUAGAAAAACAAAUCCAUUUUCUAACACACC